GACGAACGCUGGCGGCGUGCUUAACACAUGCAAGUCGAACGGAAAGGCCCUGCUUUUGUGGGGUGCUCGAGUGGCGAACGGGUGAGUAACACGUGAGUAACCUGCCCUUGACUUUGGGAUAACUUCAGGAAACUGGGGCUAAUACCUGAUAGGAGCUCCUGCUGCAUGGUGGGGGUUGGAAAGUUUCGGCGGUUGGGGUUGGACUCGCGGCUUAUCAGCUUGUUGGUGGGGUAGUGGCUUACCAAGGCUUUGACGGGUAGCCGGCCUGAGAGGGUGACCGGCCACAUUGGGACUGAGGUACGGCCCAGACUCCUACGGGAGGCAGCAGUGGGGAAUAUUGCACGAUGGGCGGAAGCCUGAUGCAGCAACGCCGCGUGCGGGAUGACGGCCUUCGGGUUGUAAACCGCUUUCGCCUGUGACGAAGCGUGAGUGACGGUAAUGGGUAAAGAAGCACCGGCUAACUACGUG
rnacentral:rRNA from 1 species